AGUGGAUGUGUCCAGGGAUUCAGCACUUUGGGCUUGCAAAACAAUCCCAGAGAGCACCAGAGGGAUGGGAAGGAGGAAGGCAAUGAAGAAUGAGGUAAAAACCAUGAGAAGAGCAAGGACACAGAGGAGAACAAGGGAAAAUGCAGAGGGGAGAGAGGAGGAGACCUGCAGAAGGCAGAGCAGCUUUGCCUCUCUGGCUGCACGAGUACAUCAGAGGAAGGAAAGGAGCCAGGUUAUGAAAGAAGACAAGAACUUGUCAGGAAACUUGAAGCAGAAGAUUCAAACAAUAAAGCCAUUCCCAGCUCUGUGGCUGCACUGACACCUCUUGAGCCCUGACCCUGGCACAAAACACUCGAUACCUUGAAGGUGGUUGGCAGGUUUUGAGAACCACUGAAUCCAUUUGAGAACCAUUAAACCCAGGACUCCUGUCUAGAAGAUAUCCCAGCUCGGCCAAACAUAGGGAAAUACAAGAAUUCAGUGGAACAAAGCAGUGGCUUCAGUUUAAUAUUCUCUUUGUCUACAAAGAGGCCUUAGGAGGACUUCAAUAAAGAGCUGAAAAGCAAA